rnacentral:lncRNA from 1 species
AGGAUAACAUGCGAGCGCACGUGAGCUAUCCAUCAAGGUAACUUUCCAACACCAGGCCAGACGUUCCAAGCCGGCAUUCUGAGACGUUCUAGGUGUCUACGAGCUGAGCUGAGGUGCCAUUCGGUUCACCAUGGGCAAUGGUACGACUGAGCUGUUUUGCAGUUACUAUUUUCAUGCUGAAUUCGAUCUUCAGAAGCGACAUUUCCCCUUCUGCCUUGACUUCCGGUGCUCUCCGCACUUCCGGGGCUCUCAGCACUUGCACUUCCGGGGACAAGGCCGCCAGAGCUCUGGGCGCAUGCGCAGCUCUGCUCUCCCAGCCACGCCCUCCUGUGAGCUGGGAAGCAAGUGGCGUGUUGGCCGAAGGUGGGGUUAAUUUAGGAUCAAAGUUGCCUCUCCGUUUGCCCCCCGUGGUUCAGGAGGGCUUGGUAGCAUUUUGUGAGGCGCAGGUUUGAUGAGAGCCGCUUCGCUUCUCAUGAGGAGGGCGGUUGGUCGCCCUCUGCCCGCUGCUCCCUGCUCGCUGUCCCCAAGGAGACGCGUGGGUGUCAAGGUUGACUCUGCUCCGCGGCUUUCACCCAUGUCCCUCCGGACUGCAGAGCAGUCUGUGUUAUUUCCUCUCCGUGAUCGUGCCAUUUUCCAAAAUCGAGGGCUGCAGUUACUCUGAGGUGGGCACAUAACUUCUGGUGAACACGAUCUGGGCAGCUAAAUUCAAGGCUGUGUCGUAUGAAUAUUGAAAUCGUCACUACAAGUGACACAAAUCACUGUCACCACGGUGGCCUGGUGAAUUGGGAUGAAGAUCUGCCACUUGUCCAAGCUGCUGAAUCCCGUAGCACACCUUCCUUCGCCGAGCCAUCCUUUUGAUCAGGGAAGUGGCUCAUCUGUACACUUAAACAAAAUACCCAGCUGCCUCAGGUUAAAAAGAAAUAAAACAUUGUUGGACAUUUUUCAUUGGAUUAUGCCGCUGUCAUCCAGACAGAAUGUGAAGGUCUCGUUUGUGGGGUUUGGUGAAGAGAAAGGAAUGCAGAACAGGAGCAGACGUUUCUAUCAUGCACAUCGCAUCUCACCCAGCCUGAAUCUCCGCGCCCUUCCGUCCUGUGAAGGACUUGGGUUGGCCCAUUCAGUGUUAGCCAGUCUGGCUGUCGUGGAUUUGUUGGUUUGCCGACUAGAAAUGCAGACAAUUUGUAUUGUGCUAUUAAUUGAAUGUGUGCUGGUUCUUGCUUCUAUGGUGUGAUAUUUCUCUUUGCAAGAUUUUAAACUCUGAAGAUCUAAUUAAUUAAUACUAAAGGAUAUUCUUCCAGUAGAUUCUUAAGAACAAUUUGAAAAGAGUAACUAGAAAAUGCAUAAGUUUUGGUGCUCUCCUGCCCCAGAAUUAAUGUGUGAGUGUGAUUAGAUCAUGUGUGGGUGAAUUUCAUCAUAAAUAUAAUUUUUUUUCCUCAGAAAUAAAAGCAGUGGGUGUUUGAAAAUAUCUGCCUUAAAGGGUGAUUGUUAAAAUGCUUCCUAGACUUCCUCCAGCCCUAAGCAUGAUAAACUUGGGGUGGGGGCUUGGGAAAAUCUGCAUUUUAAUUUACAUUCUCCAACAGACAACAGUGUGCAUUAAAGUUCAGGAAUGCUAGUUUGACUCCAACUUAGAGCUCCAUAUCAAAGAAGUCCCAGGGAAUGGUGGCCCAUGUGGCUAAGGAGUUAACAGGCUCCCUCACCAGCUUCAGUUGUCACUUACAGUAACGUUUGGCGAUUUCUGGAAGUCUCAGAAAGCACUUUGGACAGAUGCCCACAGGCAGCCGGGUGGGUGCAGCCCCCAUGGGUGCCACCCUGUCGAUCUACUUCCUUUCCUGCUCUAUUUCUAGUUCUAUU